UAAGAGAGUUUGAUCCUGGCUCAGGAUGAACGCUGGCGGUAUGCUUUACACAUGCAAGUCGUACGGGAGUUUUUAACUCAAGUGGCGGACGGGUGAGUAACACGUAAGAAUUUGCCUUUAGGAGGGGGAUAACAACUGGAAACGGUUGCUAAUACCCCAUAUGCUUUUGAGUGAAAUGGAAUUUCCGCCUAAAGAGAAGCUUGCGGCUGAUUAGCUUGUUGGUAAGGUAAUGGCUUACCAAGGCGACGAUCAGUAUCUGGUUUGAGAGGACGAUCAGACACACUGGAACUGAGACACGGUCCAGACUCCUACGGGAGGCAGCAGUGGGGAAUUUUCCGCAAUGGGCGAAAGCCUGACGGA
rnacentral:rRNA from 1 species